GCCCGAAUAGCUCAGUCGGUAGAGCAGGGGAUUGAAAAUCCCCGUGUCCCUGGUUCGAUUCCGGGUUCGGGCACCA
rnacentral:tRNA from 115 species